rnacentral:rRNA from 1 species
GACGAACCGUGCGAACGUUAUUCGGAAUCACUGGGCUUAAAGCGCGUGUAGGCGGGCCGCCGCGUCGGCUGCUGAAAUCCCCCGGCUCAACCGGGGAACGGGCGCCGAUACGGCCGGCCUGGAGGGGCGUAGGGGGACCUGGAACUUCCGGUGGAGCGGUGAAAUGCGUUGAGAUCGGAAGGAACGCCCGUGGCGAAAGCGAGGUCCUGGACGCCUACUGACGCUGAGACGCGAAAGCCAGGGGAGCGAACGGG